UCCAGCAUGGCUCAUCCUCCGUCAUGGCUCAAAUUACAUCCCUGGUGCGAAGUCACAUGUUCUUCUCAAAGCUGUAGGCAUCUCCAUGUUUAUUACAGAUUAUUAAAAUUACGUACCAUAUCAAGAGGUAUCUCCAUUAGGCUUGGUUUAAUGGCUUAUCCGUCCUUUUAAGGUCCUCAUAGUGGCCAUCUCGUAUUGGAAUCCCUAGCACCGAUGUACUGAACUGUCAUCCACUGUGGCCAGUUCAUUUGCUUGUGCAUUCAGGGAUUGAUCGCUUCUCCGUUGCUGACCCACUAGCCAUCCGACAAGGUUUUCAACUGGAUAACGGUGAGCGGGUACUUGCUGCUUGGUGGGCCUAGCCACCAAAUCCACAGGCCAUCUGCAAAUAACACUUGCAGGUUAGUGGCAGCCGCAUAUCCCUCUAAAAAUCGUUGCGGCAGUUAGUGACGGUUUGUGGGUGUCCACAACCUGCACUGCCUGCAUCCCUAAUUGCAAAGGAUCACUCUUACACAUAAAAUAGAAACUAGCUUUGUACUAUUCCUAGCCACUCCCACCGUUCCAAAUUAAUAUUCAUUUUGGUUUUUAAUAAAUUUCAAUAACUUACCAAUAUCUUGAACCAAUAGUCACAAACUUGCCACACUUUGUGCAUAUUUCACAAAAUUCACUAGUAUUUUGGGUAGUCUUUCUUGCAAAAGUAUAACUUAUGACUUUUUCCCCUCUCAUGAACAAUUGAGCCCACCCAGCUGGUCAUAAACAUAUUGCUGACAUGUGGACCUUGUUGACAAUGAAUGGAAAUUGAACACAAAGUUGUAGUUUUGUGAGAAUGUAUCCCAAAAUAGUUGUGGGGUUUGUGAAAUGGGCACAAAUAUUAGAAAUCUGUGACUGACAGCUCAAAAUAUUUGUAGGUUUGUGAAAUUCACUUAUACUUUUUUGACGGUCGAUUAUUGCAUAUUUGCAUUUCUUUACUGCUCCUAUCCAUGCACAGCUAGCGUCUGCUAAGCCACUUCAGGCCCUAAAUUGUUGAGCUUGGCCACUAGUUAUCGUCAUCAUUUGCUACGUCCACUAACCUCUCAUGUAGGCUUCCUAAUCCAUAUUGCCCUCCAUGUCUACGCCACAAGCAGGGGUAGUGACAAAAAAUCUGAUAAGAGGGGUCAGAUAGUAACAAAUUGUCCUUAUUUCGUAGUUAGAAAUCCAUGUACGUAUAUAAGGUUCAUAUAGACUUUUCACCACGUCAGUUGUCCUUAUUUCGCCCAUGGAUUUUUUUUAUGGUGCUAAGACUCGGAUGCAGUGGCGGAUCCUUGAAGGAAGGAGGGGUUUAUUUUUUUUCCCUUCUUCCUCCUUCCUUUCUCUUCGUCCUCCUCUUCGCCACCAUGCUAGAUCCGGAUGUGACAGCUAAUUCGUUUCUGUCCAUUAAAAUUUUAAGAACCAGACGGCGUAUAACGCGCUAACCGUACCUUCUCUAUUUCAAUGGCAAGUGGACAUUUUUCCAUGGAUCGCACGUAGGCUGCCAAGUGUUUCAGAGUUCAUCAAAAACAUCGUCAGUGUAG
rnacentral:lncRNA from 1 species